UACGGAGGAUCCAAGCGUUAUCCGGAUUUAUUGGGUUUAAAGGGUGCGUAGGCGGAAUUGUAAGUCAGUGGUGAAAGCCCUUCGCUUAACGAAGGAACUGCCAUUGAUACUGCAAAUCUUGAGUACAUUUGAUGUGGGCGGAAUGUGUCAUGUAGCGGUGAAAUGCUUAGAUAUGACACAGAACACCGAUUGCGAAGGCAGCUCACAAAACUGUAACUGACGCUGAGGCACGAA
rnacentral:rRNA from 1 species